UUAUAAUAUUCUCAUAAAUCAUGUAACUGGAAUUUUGAGUAAAUUAAAUUACAUGGAAACACAGAUGAAGAGUAUAUUUGCUCAAGUCCUGUAAUUAAGUAUAACUUUAUUUACCAUUUGUUAGACUUUUUACUUUUAGUACUAGAAAGUACUGUACUUUUUCAGUUCACUACAUUUAUCGUAUAGCUAAAGUUAGCUAGUCUGAAGGUAACACCACCACACACAUCACAUUAACGUGCUGCUUACACAUUAACAACUAUUCAACACCCUGAGUCUGAAUAUAUUUCUUUUUCACAAUAGUCCAGAAAUACAUAUUCACUUUCUUGCUGAUAGUUAGAUGUGUAAGUGAGAACCACACUCACAUUGUGUUUAUUUAUACAGAGCUGGAGCCAGGAGCUGAUUAGCUUAACUUAAUGUAGCAUAAAUGGAAGGCUAACGUUAGCUUUCCAAUCAAGAAAUAAUUGCAGUAAAAGAAUACAGUACAGAGGUGACCAGGCUCCAACAAGGACUGAAUAUUUUCACAUCUAACUCUGUGAAUUAAGGGUUUAAUUUGAUCAAACCACAGUUGGUGGUUGUUGGAACAGUGGAAAGACUAGCCACGCUGGUUUUGAUCUCCCAGCUGAAACUACAGGGGGAGGCCUGAGCUAUCGGACUUUCGCCUCUGGAAGUACAGUGGUGUCAUCAGACAGGACGACAUAGGGCUAGCUGGUUAGCAUGCUAACUUCAGUAGAUAUUUCUGUCUUUGACAUGACGUCAGAACUGUUCUGAUGUUCUACACAUUCUGUUCAUAAUGUUGAUGAUAUAAAAUAAUUUUUAUGUUUAAACAAAAAAAUUUGGCAAUGUUUGACAUUGUACAUUUAAGUCACCUAUAAAACCACCUCAGAGAACUCUAGUACUCACUCAAGCUCCAUGAAACCCUCAUUAGGACUGUUAAACCCUUCAAACCCCCUCAUACCCUAUGGUGGAAAGUGACAUAAAACUGAAAUUUCAAAUUAUAAAUCUGGCUGCUAAAUGCUCCUCUUAGUUCACCAGCCAGUCGCUAACUGUUUCUGUCUGCUGUCUGGUGCUGGUGGUGUGCAGUGUGUUUAUUCAAGCCUUUUUUUUUUCAAAAUAAUUUAAAUGAGACCAGUGAGACUGAACCAAAACCAAAACAAUGAACUGAAUGAAAAUGAAUGAAAAGAGGCUAAAAAGGCGUGUAGAACUCAGGGAAACUGCAGAGUUGGUGAUAAUUCUCAGUGGGUUUGUCUGAGUGACAAUUUACACAUUACACAUGUAAUUUGAUCCAUUGUUUAUGCACACCUUAUUUGACCAUUUAUAAAAUGUACUUUGAUUACUAACAUUCCUGUAUUUGAAAUUUGACUUCAAGAUAUAUUGGUAAAAAGUCAAUCACAACACCACCGUGUUACACACCAUAUAAAUGUAACAUAAAGCUUCUUCAUAAAAUACUGUAGCUUUGAAAUAAAGUCGUGCCUCUAAACCGGCCUGCUAAAAAAA